UGUAGUUAGCAGAGCAAUCGCAGCCUUGUGCGCUGCGGGAGGCUUGCGUCGACACAUGCAAGCACGCAAGGAGGUGUGAAAAGGCACGCAAGGGACAAACCUGGAGAAUUGUUACCCGACUCAGCAGUUCGUCUCAGCUAAUCAGGCAGCUGCAUUCGGUGGUUCGCUCUGAUUAAGCCACUGUACGGGCCCGGUGCCAAACAACAGACAGAAAGGAAACUACAUAAUCAUGCUAUUUAAACACUGCGUUACGGGUGAUGAGGACUACAUCCAAAAGCAAACCGGAGACCGACAGUUUUGAUCUCAAAAAGAAAGGAUUUAUUCACAGGGUCUCGUGUCCAGGUGAUCCCGUGCAGGGGCUCGUGAGGCGAGUCUCGGGGGUAGGCUGCUGGCAGGUUCGGUGAAAGGCUGGGCAGGGUACAGAGCGCAGGCUAAACAAAAGCGCAGGCAUGCGCGUAGUGUCGAUGGGGGACAAUAAUCCGACACGGGAGCCCCGGAGACAGCAGGCUUUAACUGGUGCCAGAUUGUUAAUUAGCCACAGGUGAGAGUGGUGAGAGAGCGCUCCUCUCAGCCGUCCCGCCCAGCCUGAAAACCCUAUAAGAGCACCAGCCAGCACCCAGGAUCAAAAUAUACAUAAAUUAGUGAAGGCAAAGAAAUCAUAAUCACCACACACUGUUUUGUUUUGAAAUGAAAGCUGUCCAGCAUCAGACUCUCCGAUCUGCUUUAUACUUUCGCAGAGACUCUGUGAAACAAUUUUGCUGACAUAAUGUGAGAAUUGUUGCUCAGGCCUCAACAGAGAUGGAACACAGAAGCGUCAGUGUGUUCACCUCUAAAUGAUUGUGUGCAGGUGUAGAUCUCCGUACAACUUGUUAAUUAAAUUCCUCAUGUGUCUAGCCAUUCACAGUCUACUUAAAAAGGAUUUCUGAAUGUGUGCCUAUGGCAUAUAGCUAUAUUUCAUUCUGUUCAUAUUUGAAGACACAUCUGUGUUUCUGUGCAGUACUUCUUACUUACUCUACACUGUAAUAUCUCAGACAGUCACCAGGAUAAACUGCUGUGGACACAUAAAUCAAAUUUGAAGUUGAUUAUGAGAAGUAAUGAUUUGUUCUGUUUCAGAAGCUGCAUUUUUUAAUUUAUUUUUUACAAACAAUUGGUAGCCAAGCAAAUAACCCUGUCCAGGGAGCCGGCCAGGUACGAAGACGGGGGAGGGUGCAGG
ensembl:lncRNA